rnacentral:tRNA from 1 species
GUUUUAAUAGUUUAAAUUUAAAAUUAUGAUCUUGUAAAUCAUAGAUAAGAAAAUCUUUUAAAACU